GAACUGUUUAGUCACUAGGGAUGUGUAGACAUGUCUCACCAGCUAAUAUCUCUCUCUGUGUUCCCCAGGUGUAUAACAUUACAGUAGACCCCUACCAGGUCAUUAGUAAUAACUAACUCUCUCUCUGUGUUCCCCAGGUAUAUAACAUUACAGUAGACCCCUACCAGGUCAUUAGUAAUAACUAACUCUGUGUUCCCCAGGUGUAUAACAUUACAGUAGACCCCUACCAGGUCAUUAGUAAUAACUAACUCUCUCUCUGUGUUCCCCAGGUAUAUAACAUUACAGUAGACCCCUACCAGGUCAUUAGUAAUAACUAACUCUGUGUUCCCCAGGUAUAUAACAUUACAGUAGACCCCUACCAGGUCAUUAGUAAUAACUAACUCUGUGUUCCCCAG